rnacentral:lncRNA from 1 species
AUUGCUUUUUAAUUAAAAACGAAUCCCCCCCCCAAUCCCUAGUUUUAUGUAUCUCCGGGAGCCUGCAGAGGUCCUGCUCUACCUGAGGCUCAGGGGUAGCCCUGCUCUCGGCUCUGCUGUUUCCUCCCUUGAAUCUGCAUCUCCCUCUGUUUCAGGAAGAGUCUGGAAUCUUCUUUGGACAUUUUCUUUGUUUUAGGUGCUGAGAUCCCAAACCACACACCACAGAUGCCCAGGAAGAAGAAAUGGCCCUAAACCAGUUCUAUGACCAGCACCCACUUCCAGCCAGGAAUGAGAUGAGACAGAGGACAGACAGAGGCCAUGUAUGCAAGGACUGUCCCUCCCCAGGGCAAGUCCAGGAGUUGAGGACACAGGGAUGCAUAUAAAAGCUUAGUAUUGGAGAGAUUGCUGGGGGGCUGUAGGAUACACCUCUGCCUGGCCAAAGGGUGGCAGGCAAAGAAACAAGUUUUUUGUGGACCAAAGUGGACACUCCAGAGUCAUUUAGUAAGGACCAGUCCAGGGAAUCUGCUAAAGGUAUCCACAUGGAGUUGAAGGAAAAAUUGAAGACACUGACUGGGGGAUUAGAGGAUGGGUGAAGACAGCAGGAGAAGGAGGCCUUGUCAAUGAAUUGCAAGUCAGAGAGUCACUGAGAAGGAGAGGGUCACCGAGAAGCCCACAGUAUACCCCAAAGCGGAAGCUGGUGUUUGGACUGUGCUCCUGAGAGAAGCCGCCAGAUCAGAUUCAGCAGCCCAGGAAGGCCCCAGGUAAGGUUUUCUGCUCCCCAUCCUAGACCUGACCAAGGCGGAAGUCUGCAAGGAAAUGAAGAAACAGGAAGCCAGCUAACCCCUCCCUCCCAUCUGGGGAUCAGGAAUGGACCUGCAAUGGAGGAAAGGGAGCUUUGAAUUGGGGGUCAGGUUAACCCACUGGAGUCAGACUGGAUGCACCUGCUACCACCUGAAAGUGAGCCUGUCUGUUAAACUGAACACAGAGCAGGGGCUGGGGGCCCACCUGGCUCUCUUUCAGAAUGAGGAGAGGCAUCCAACAGGGAAGGUUUUAAAGAUGGUGGUGAAAAGGAGUUGUUGUAGUGGCAAGCCACUAAGUCCAGACUGUUCCACAGGCCAUACGUGGACACUACAGCACCAAUGUGGCCAUGAGCUUUUUCAGCCCCAAAGUAUAGAUGAGAAAUUGGAGGCUCAGAGAAAAUUCCUGGCUUGUCCUAUGCACCUGGUUGCAGCAUUUGAAGGGAUUCUGACAUCCACCGAGCUCUCUUUACCCCAGCGUUCCCUCCUGGCUCCUGAGCUUCUAAUUCAGCAGCUUCGCUGGGGAACGUGCCUCCACAGGUGCCUGGAGGUGCUCUGUGGUCCAGCGGCUCCUUCUGGAAAACACCACUCUCGCCUGAUGCUUUCACAGAGGGAUGAUGUCAGGGGCAACCAGGAGCAGGGUCCUGAAUGCCAGGCUCUGAAGACACCAGGCCAUCCAAGCGCUUUCUGGGCCCUUGAGUAUGGGGGUCCCGGGGUCCUUCACUUCCCUUGUGUGGGCCUGGGCUGCGCUGCUCCUUCCCCUCUUUAGCCCCAACCGUCCCACCCCUGGGGUCAUGGUUUGAGUAGAACAUCUGCAUUUGGACUUUGUGACUGUCCAGACAAGAGGACACCCCUCUGUUCCCCUGUUCCCAUGGUCCCUGUGCCUCCAGUCUCCAUUCACAUCUCAUGAGGGAAUGUAUGGCCUGGUCAUUUGGAGGCCUGGAACCAGGCUUCACAAGUCUCAGUCCCUGUUCUGCUACUUGUGAGUUUGGAGCAAGUUACUUCCCUCUGUGCCUCCGUGUCCUCAUCUGUACCACGAUGAGGCUUAAGUGAGUUCAUAUAUGUAAGUCAGUUACAUAUAUGAACAUGUAACAUGUAAGUACAUCUAACAUGUAACAUGUACAUGGAGAAUGAGACUCCGCAAAUGCUAGUUGUUGUUAUUGUCACCAUUAGUGGUAGCAUUGCCUGUGAGACUGAAGCACAUCAGGCCCUGUAGGCAUGGACCAGAUCAAAAAUCAGGUUAGGGACCUGAGGGGACUGCUGGGUGAACAGUUUUGUGGCACAUCUUUGAUGGGAGGUGGGUCCUGGCUGGGCUGAUAUAUUAUUUCCUCUGAAAUUCAGAUACCACUGAAGUCACUGCAGGUAGAAACUCUCUCACCUCCUCCGCUGGGAGAGUGUUCUGUGGCGCCCUCUCAAGAGCAGCAGGGCAGAUGGAGGGAUUUAUCCCAGUCCCCAGGUCCCCUUGGCUUGUCUUCUGGUUUGGGAACCCCGUUCCUCACUAUCCAGAGAGCUCAGGGUUCCCUGGGUCAGGGGAUCCCGGGCGGUCUCAGGGCCUAUAAACUAUCUAAAGCAACUUUAUAGGCUGCUGCGUUCCCAGGGCCCAUAAAAGACGUGGUGUCUGAAGCCCUCAGAGUUUCCAUGUGUCCCAGGCGAUGGGCCAAAGCCAGAGGGGCAAAGUAGGAGAGCGAGAGGAAGCAGCCCUUCGUGGGCAGUGCCCAGGCUCCUGCUGCCUGGCCACCCAGUGGCAUCUGCAGGGCCUGCCGGGGCCGAACAUGUUCGAGGCUGCAUAUCACUCCCAGUAGCCCCAAAUCCGGUGGGGGAAUUCUUUUAUUUUUAUAACUUUGUUCAGUUUGUUUUGAUUGCGCAUGACAGUCU